AUUGAACGCUGGCGGCAUGCCUUACACAUGCAAGUCGAACGGCAGCGCGGGAGCAAUCCUGGUGGCGAGUGGCGAACGGGUGAGUAAUAUAUCGGAACGUGCCCGGUCGUGGGGGAUAACGUAGCGAAAGCUACGCUAAUACCGCAUACGAUCUACGGAUGAAAGCGGGGGAUCGCAAGACCUCGCGCGAUUGGAGCGGCCGAUAUCAGAUUAGGUAGUUGGUGAGGUAAAGGCUCACCAAGCCGACGAUCUGUAGCUGGUCUGAGAGGACGACCAGCCACACUGGGACUGAGACACGGCCCAGACUCCUACGGGAGGCAGCAGUGGGGAAUUUUGGACAAUGGGCGCAAGCCUGAUCCAGCAAUGCCGCGUGCAGGAUGAAGGCCUCGGUUGUAAC
rnacentral:rRNA from 1 species